rnacentral:piRNA from 1 species
UGUGGUGUCACGCCCUUCAUGGAUGC